CAACAUACUGCAUGUAAGUAUCAAGUAAAUGAGCAGAGACAGCCCCUGGUUUACAAACACCUGACUUAAGCAUCGUCCAUCCUACAGGACAGGGAAGGAGGAAGAAGCUUCGAGAGGCUGGAACAGUUGAGGGAGCGCUGACACGGUAAAGGCCACUUUGCUCAUCAUCACCAGGCGUGCUGCCGAAAAUUUCCACUCUGUUUACUCCCAAGACCUUACUCCUACUAUGUGGAGACACAUUUGAAUAAAAAAUUGGCC
rnacentral:lncRNA from 1 species